rnacentral:rRNA from 1 species
GAUGAACGCUGGCGGCGUGCCUAAUACAUGCAAGUCGAGCGAACAGACGAGGAGCUUGCUCCUCUGACGUUAGCGGCGGACGGGUGAGUAACACGUGGAUAACCUACCUAUAAGACUGGGAUAACUUCGGGAAACCGGAGCUAAUACCGGAUAAUAUAUUUAACCGCAUGGUUCAAUAGUGAAAGACGGUUUUGCUGUCACUUAUAGAUGGAUCCGCGCCGCAUUAGCUAGUUGGUAAGGUAACGGCUUACCAAGGCAACGAUGCGUAGCCGACCUGAGAGGGUGAUCGGCCACACUGGAACUGAGACACGGUCAAGACUCCUACGGGAGGCAGCAGUAGGGAAUCUUCCGCAAUGGGCGAAAGCCUGACGGAGCAACGCCGCGUGAGUGAUGAAGGUCUUCGGAUCGUAAAACUCUGUUAUUAGGGAAGAACAAAUGUGUAAGUAACUAUGCACGUCUUGACGGUACCUAAUCAGAAAGCCACGGCUAACUACGUG